rnacentral:rRNA from 1 species
UACGAAGGGGGCUAGCGUUGCUCGGAAUUACUGGGCGUAAAGGGAGCGUAGGCGGACAUUUAAGUCAGGGGUGAAAUCCCGGGGCUCAACCUCGGAAUUGACUUUGAUACUGGGUGUCUUGAGUAUGAGAGAGGUAUGUGGAACUCCGAGUGUAGAGGUGAAAUUCGUAGAUAUUCGGAAGAACACCAGUGGCGAAGGCGACAUACUGGCUCAUUACUGACGCUGAGGCUCGAAAGCGUGGGGAGCAAACAGG